rnacentral:rRNA from 1 species
GAGAGGGCGCACGGACACACUGGAACUGAAACACGGUCCAGACUCCUACGGGAGGCAGCAGUGGGGAAUUUUGCGCAAUGGGGGAAACCCUGACGCAGCAACGCCGCGUGGAGGAUGAAGCCCCUUGGGGUGUAAACUCCUUUCGAUCGGGAAGAUAAUGACGGUACCGAUAUAAGAAGCCCCGGCUAACUUCGUGCCGGCAGCCGCGGUAAUACGAGGGGGGCAAGCGUUGUUCGGAAUUAUUGGGCGUAAAGGGUGCGUAGGCGGUUUGACAAGUCUGAUGUGAAAUCUAUGGGCUCAACCCAUAGUCUGCAUCGGAAACUGUCGGGCUUGAGUAUGGGAGAGGUGAGUGGAAUUUCCGGUGUAGCGGUGAAAUGCGUAGAUAUCGGAAGGAACACCUGUGGCGAAAGCGGCUCACUGGACCAUUACUGACGCUGAGGCACGAAAGCUAGGGGAGCAAACAGGAUUAGAUACCCUGGUAGUCCUAGCCCUAAACGAUGAUUGCUUGGUGUGGCAGGUACCCAAUCCUGCCGUGCCGAAGCUAACGCGAUAAGCAAUCCGCCUGGGGAGUACGGUCGCAAGGCUGAAACUCAAAGGAAUGACGG